GCCCACUCAGUAUAUCAAUGGCUAAAUGAUCAGCUUCUCUUUGAUGCCUUAAAAAUUUCACACCAUUUGGCAAAUCUGUGAGAGGAACAACCUCACUUCUCACAGCGCGAUAUUCGGGAGCAGGUAUUUGAAACAACGGAUACCUCCAUUGAAAGCAUAUUCAUAGUAACACCCUGCCUCUUUACUGCAGCCACACUCAGCGGGUUCAUCCCAUAUCUGGUCCGACAAUCUUUGGAGGACAAGAGUCAAUAAACACAGGAUGAUUGGAAAUGAAAUGAGCCAAAUAUUUGUCUUGAUAUUUCCUUUCUGAAAGAAGAAAAGGAAAACAUAAAAUCAUGUAAUGAGAAGAAGUACCAUUAUUUGGGUAUUGGCCCCUCAAAGAAUUGCUCUUCAGUUAAAUGUAAGCAAUUUUGGCCUUUUCUAUUGGACAGGAAGCAAUUAUUUUGACAUGGCUAUUAACUACACGACGUGACAUGUGUCAUAUUUAAAUUUUACAAGAACAUAAUUCUGUUCGUCCAAAAAAAAAAAACCAAAAAAAAAAAACAAGAAUGUAAUUCUGACUUUUGAUUGUUGGGUUUAAUAAAAAUCAUUAUUAACUGCGCUCUGAAAAGCCAGCCAGAGGUGUCCGUUCAUAGUUGUAGAUGGCAAUCGGCAAUUGUACCACUUGUGUUUGUAGGGGGAGAUGUCACACUAUUAAAUUCUUGAGCACUAGACGCUACAGGCAAUUUAUACAUUGUGAG
rnacentral:lncRNA from 1 species